GACGAACGCUGGCGGCGUGCUUAACACAUGCAAGUCGAACGGAAAGGCCCUGCAUUUGUGGGGUGCUCGAGUGGCGAACGGGUGAGUAACACGUGAGUAACCUGCCCUUGACUUUGGGAUAACUUCAGGAAACUGGGGCUAAUACCGGAUAGGAGCUCCUGCUGCAUGGUGGGGGUUGGAAAGUUUCGGCGGUUGGGGAUGGACUCGCGGCUUAUCAGCUUGUUGGUGGGGUAGUGGCUUACCAAGGCUUUGACGGGUAGCCGGCCUGAGAGGGUGACCGGCCACAUUGGGACAGAGAUACGGCCCAGACGCCUACGGGAGGCAGCAGUGGGGAAUAUUGCACAAUGGGCGGAAGCCGUAUGCAGCAACGCCGCGUGCGGGAUGACGGCCUUCGGGUUGGAAACCGCUUUCGCCUGUGACGAAGCGUGAGGGACGGUAAUGGGUAAAGAAGCACCGGCUAACUACGU
rnacentral:rRNA from 1 species